ensembl:lncRNA
CACUAGCCAGUUAUAUCCCUCAUGAGUCAGUAAGAACAAAGCAAGAGCUAAAAUAAGAGGUAAAAUUGGAUCUAAAUGAAUCAAACAGCAAGAAACAUGACUCAACAUCUUCCUAAUGGUGAUCUGAAAACCCUAUCGAGAAUGAAAAAGCUCUGAUAUUCUUCGUUGAAUCUUCUACAAAUACUCUUCACCUGCAUGUUGGAGCGUUUACAGUGAGUGCAGCACCAGCACCAGUUAGCACUACUUAAAACCAAAAUGCCCCAAAUCGUUGUCCAAAAGCUUCUGACUGGAAGCGUGUUUUGGAUUUCCAGGACGUGGCGACACAAAACAAGUGAUGUCAGAGGUCACCAGCGGCAGCAGCAACCUGCGUGUGG